rnacentral:rRNA from 1 species
UCCGACCUGCAUGAAUGGCGUAAUGAUGGCCACACUGUCUCCUCCUGAGACUCAGCGAAGUUGAAAUGUUUGUGAUGAUGCAAUCUACCCGCGGCUAGACGGAAAGACCCCAUGAACCUUUACUGUAGCUUUGUAUUGGACUUUGAACAGAUCUGUGUAGGAUAGGUGGGAGGCUUUGAAGCAGCGGCGCCAGUCGUUGUGGAGCCAUCCUUGAAAUACCACCCUUAUUCUUUUCGUUGUCUAACCGCGUCCCUGGAUGGGACCGGGACCCAGCCUGGCGGGCAGUUUGACUGGGGCGGUCGCCUCCCAAACCGUAACGGAGGCGCGCGAAGGUGGGCUCAGACCGGUCGGAAAUCGGUCGUCGAGUGCAAUGGCAUAAGCCUGCCUGACUGCGAGACUGACAAGUCGAGCAGAGUCGAAAGACGGUCAUAGUGAUCCGGUGGUCCCUCGUGGAAGGGCCAUCGCUCAACGGAUAAAAGGUACGCCGGGGAUAACAGGCUGAUACUGCCCAAGAGUCCAUAUCGACGGCAGUGUUUGGCACCUCGAUGUCGGCUCAUCUCAUCCUGGGGCUGGAGCAGGUCCCAAGGGUAUGGCUGUUC